GCGGCUGUGGUGGAACUGGUAGACACGCAUGCCUUAGGAGCAUGUGCCUUACGGCGUGGGGGUUCGAGUCCCUCCAGCCGCACCA
rnacentral:tRNA from 1 species